UACGGAGGGGACUAGCGUUGUUCGGAAUUACUGGGCGUAAAGCGCACGUAGGCGGAUCUGUAAGUCAGGGGUGAAAUCCCGGGGCUCAACCUCGGAACUGCCUUUGAUACUGCAAAUCUCGAGUCCGGAAGAGGUGAGUGGAAUUCCUAGUGUAGAGGUGAAAUUCGUAGAUAUUAGGAAGAACACCAGUGGCGAAGGCGGCCCGCUGGGCAGUGGCUGACGCUGAAGCGCGACAGCGUGGGGAGCAAACAGG
rnacentral:rRNA from 1 species